rnacentral:lncRNA from 1 species
CCAUAAUAUUAUAUUUGGGCGGAGUUUUAAACGUAAACAUUCACAAGUUAGGGUAAAACAUUGGUAAAUUCAAGACCCUAGCUAGCCUUUUAGCUCUUCACGAUUUACGCACGCAUAUUAAUAUCGAUUCACCGAAUGGUAUUUCUUUAAAUCACGAAUCACGAAGCACGAAUAAUUGCUAAUGACGCGUCACGAAAAUACCCUUGCCCCCCCCC